UGGUUCAGACCUUUCAACUACUACUACUAUGCUGACAACAUGAGUAGCAGCAGCUAUGUAUAGAGCAAGUCCUCAUUUGGAGAUGGAGCUGUGAGGAUUGGUGGUUUUGACAGGAAAUCCUUGAGCUGUGUCAAGGCUUUGUCUGCCUGCUCUAUCCAUUGAAACUUGUCUUGUCGUUUGAGUAGCUUGAAGAAGGGUAGUCCGCGUUCUUCAAGUCUUGAGAUGAAAUAAUUGAG
rnacentral:lncRNA from 1 species